UACGUAGGGUGCAAGCGUUGUCCGGAAUUAUUGGGCGUAAAGAGCUCGUAGGCGGUCUGUCGCGUCGGCUGUGGAAACCCGGAGCUCAACUCCGGGCCUGCAGUCGAUACGGGCAGACUGGAGUUCGGCAGGGGAGACUGGAAUUCCUGGUGUAGCGGUGAAAUGCGCAGAUAUCAGGAGGAACACCGGUGGCGAAGGCGGGUCUCUGGGCCGAUACUGACGCUGAGGAGCGAAAGCGUGGGGAGCGAACAGG
rnacentral:rRNA from 1 species